ACGCUCGACACCUACGGGAGGCAGCAGUGGGGAAUAUUGCACAAUGGGGGAAACCCUGAUGCAGCAACGCCGCGUGAAGGAAGACGGUUUUCGGAUUGUAAACUUCUGUUCUUAGUGAAGAUAGUGACGGUAGCUAAGGAGCAAGCCACGGCUAACUACGUGCCACAGCCGCGGUAAUCUGAGCGGGCUGCAAGGC
rnacentral:rRNA from 1 species